rnacentral:ncRNA from 1 species
AUAUAUACGUAUAUAUAUGUGAAUCAUUACACCCCUAUGUAUGCCAGCGUAAAGUACAGUUGCAUGUGUAUGUGCGUGUAUAUAUAUAUAUAUAUAUCUAUGUAUAUGUGUCUGCAGUAGUGUAUUUCGUUCUACAUGGCCCACAGGGCUAGUGUGCGUGCGCGGAGAAGUCGCACUCACGCUGAUGUGUGAGAACGUCAGAGAGGGUGAGAGUCGCCCAUUUGUCCUGUGUCGUUUUGUUCCACGAACGGCACGCCUUUAUAGAGUCGCACUCAUGGGAUUUGAGCGCAGCGUAUGUAGUAAGCUUUUCAUAAAGCUAAAUGCUGGCGCGAGACCGAUGGCAAACAAGUACCGCGAGGAGAAGAAACGUUCUUGGGAAAGAGAGUUAGAAGUGCUUGAAUCUACUGAAGGAAAGAGAUCGGAAACUUCUGAAUCGUGAACCUCUUGUAACGUCGAGCCCCUUGCUCCUUCCUGUAUAAAAGGAGGGAAGAGUGUGGGCAAGCCAAUAGGGGCUAGACACGUGAGUCGUGCUGGAGAGGUCAGCACCAGUUGCCAAGGAAAGCUUAGGGGUACAGAAGCUAGGUCUCCCGUGGACUGCUUCAUAGAUGCACCAUUUUCUACUUUUCUAUGUGACUGACUUGUACUUCAG